rnacentral:rRNA from 1 species
AUUGAACGCUGGCGGCAUGCUUUACACAUGCAAGUCGAACGGCAGCACGGGUGCUUGCACCUGGUGGCGAGUGGCGAACGGGUGAGUAAUAUAUCGGAACGUGCCCUAGAGUGGGGGACAACCAGUCGAAAGAUUGGCUAAUACCGCAUACGAUCUAAGGAUGAAAGUGGGGGACCUUCGGGCCUCAUGCUCCUGGAGCGGCCGAUAUCGGAUUAGCUAGUUGGUGGGGUAAAGGCCUACCAAGGCGACGAUCAGUAGCUGGUCUGAGAGGACGAUCAGCCACACUGGGACUGAGACACGGCCCAGACUCCUACGGGAGGCAGCAGUGGGGAAUUUUGGACAAUGGGGGCAACCCUGAUCCAGCAAUGCCGCGUGAGUGAAGAAGGCCUUCGGGUUGUAAAGCUCUUUUGUCAGGGAAGAAAUUGCCUGGGUUAAUACCCUGGGUAGAUGACGGUACCUGAAGAAUAAGCACCGGCUAACUACGUGCCAGCAGCCGCGGUAA